rnacentral:rRNA from 1 species
GACGAACGCUGGCGGCGUGCCUAAUACAUGCAAGUCGAACGCAGUGGGGACGGGUGAGUAACACGUGGGUAACCUCCCAUCAGAGGGGAUAACACUUGGAAAAAGGUGCUAAACCGAUACUGAUGGAUGGUCCCGCGGUGCAUUAGCGAGUUGGUGAGGUAACGGCUCACCAAGGCCACGAUGCAUAGCGGGCCGGAGAGGGGGAUCGGCCACACGGGGACGGAGACACGGGCCAGACUCCUACGGGAGGCAGCAGUGGGGAAUAGUGGGCAAUGGGCGAAAGCCUGACCGAGCAACGCCGCGUGAGUGAAGAAGGUUUUCGGGUCGUAAAACUCUGUUGUUAGAGAAGCGGUAUCUAACCAGAAAGCACCGGCUAACUACGUGCCAGCAGCCGCGGUAAUAC